rnacentral:rRNA from 1 species
CCUACGGGAGGCAGCAGUGGGGAAUAUUGGACAAUGGGGGAAACCCUGAUCCAGCGACGCCGCGUGCGUGAAGAAGUAUUUCGGUACGUAAAGCUCUAUCAGCAGGGAAGAACAUGACGAUACCUGACUAAGUAGCCCCUGCUAAUGACGUGUCAGCAGCCGAUGGCUUACGUUGGGGGCAAGCGUUAGCUGGAAUUACUGGGGGUAAAGGGAGCGUAGACGGCGGCGCAAGUAUGGGAGGAAAUGCCCGGGUACAAACCCGGAACUGCUCUGGAAACUGUGAAGCUAGAGUGUAGGAGAGGUAAGCGGAAUUCCUGGUGAAGCGGUGAAAUGCGUAGAUAUCAGGAGGAACACCGACGGCGAAGGCAGCUUACUGGGCUGUAACUGACGUUGAGGCACGAAGGCGUGGGGAGCAAACAGGAUUAGAUACCCGAGUAGUC